GCAGUCGCAGAUGCAUAGAGCCCCACGCCCGUCCCAUUUUCCUUGCCACACACCUCCUCUUCUUGUUCCUCGUUUCUUUGUAGCCUACUUUCGUAGGUGACCGCGUCGCUCAGCUCGCCGGCGAUGAUUUGCUCCACGAGUGCGUGUUCGUGGAUUGGAGAUGACGCACAUACCUGAGAUUAUGAGGACGCGGUGUUCAAGAAGGAGUUGGACCUUGCAAACAUCCAACGUCGCCUUUGUCUCACUCUCACAACUAGGAUUCGUCAACAAAGGAAGGAGUGCGCCGUCCAUUGGCGAGGAGCAGACGACGAAUGCCGUGGUAGCCCCUUCCAGCACAACGACCUCUUCCCUCCCUUCUACUUAAAUUAAGAGAGGGGACGGGGACGUUGGGCAAAUUAGAGCCUGACCGAAGGUUCGUUAGCGUCGUGCUUGUCAUCUCGUCGAGCCCCUCCUUCAGUGGUUGAUCAAAUCACGCGGGUUUGCGAUCUGCUCGACGGAAUUCGCCAGAGGAGUAGGAAGGGGAAAGAAGAAAAGGAUAAGAAGAAGCCAUCACCGGGGACGGGGGAGAGGUUUGAUGUAGACGGGGAGGACGACGCAAUGGUAGUGGAUAAGGGGAGGGGAUGUGCCUGUAUGCGUGCGCCGCAGAGCGUGGCGGCCGACCAACACGGGCGGAGCCGUUGCCGCCUCUCUUCUCCUCUUCUCAAAGAGGAACUGAGAUUAGACUAGGGCUACUCCCUCUAUUGUUACCUCCUUACUCUUGAUGAUUACACCUUGAUUAAAGACUGAUCACCCGGUAAUAGGAUGAUGCUAUGUAAUCUUUCAGUCCGUUUCAACUGUGAGCUCUCACAUAAACGAGUAGAUUCUUCUUUCCAAUCAGAUGGAUCAGUGUCACUUCGGGUUCAUCAAGCUGAUCAUGCUCAUCUAUCAUCCGCUCUUUGUUGUUGAGCUUGAAAUAUACUCAUCCAGUUCAAGAACUACAAGAUGCAAGAAGAACUGAAAUCAUGCUUGGAGCAAACUUUCAUCAAUGAUGUAGUGCCAGCAUUUACAUUAAAUUUCCGCUGCAGCUGAAACAGAAGAGUGCUGGAACGGAGAACAACUUCACCUCAUGUUCACACUGUCAGCUAGCUUUAGUAGAAAUAUCUGAAGGUUUUGUGAUAAUUUUGUCAUCCUUUGCAAGCUACAAAAUGAAGCAGAUGAUAUUGAAUAUUUUGGAGAAGCUGCUGCAUUGGCUAUUUGACUAGAUACAAAACAAGUGCGAGUAGAUUACUUUUGUCAUUUAGCAGCCAUAGAAGAUCAGUUCUGGGUUUCUCUAAGAAUGCACUAGUAGGUACUGUCUAUUUAAUACCUUUGAAAUCAUGAAUUCAUAUAGCUGCCUCUAAGUUCCCUUUUAUCCCUAGAGUAGCACGGACUCGAAAUGGAGAUCAUGAGAAAAUUUUACAAAGUCCACACAAAAUAUUGUUAAGUUGCUAAAUACAAAGUAAUUGCAGGUAACUCAUCUUUAAGCAUUUAAUCAGUCACCUCGAAAAAACAUUUAAUCAGUUAGUGUAUUGGAAAAAUAUGGAAGUGCCAUUUCAUAUGACAGCUGUUAGAAUUGGGGCUAUCAUCGGAAGUAUUACUCAGGACUAUACAUUGAAGGACUAUUACUCGGCUUGACAAGGAUAUUUUAAUAUUUGCCAAAGUACAUGUGUAUGAAAACAAAGUAUUAUAUUCCAGUCUAUCUUUUUGUCUACUUAACCUGAUUAAUAGUCCUUCAAUGUAUUAUGGCUAUGAUCUAGAUGUUUAACUCAUUUAAUUGUGGUAAUACAUUGUAUAAUGCUGAGCCAAAUGAGUUGAUUUCAGCCUUCGAAGUAAAUACUCAAUACUUUUGCAAUCGGCUUUGUGGCGCCUUCAUUCUUGGAUGUUGCUGGCAAGGAUUGGAAAUCUUGUUCUCCUGAGAAACGGAAGAAUGGCAGGCACAUCCUCUUUUGAGGAUUUGAUGGGCAAUCAAAAGAAGGGAACCUACUUUAAUACUCUUGGGCAAGGCACUCUCUAAGAUUAACCCUAUUACAUCGUCUUGGCUUCCAGAAGGCGACAAAAUAUUGUCUGGCAUUACUAUUUCCUUUAUGAUUUUCUGAAAAGAUGUCUUUUUGUGCCAUUUGCGGAUUGUUUGAUAAUUCUUGGUCUCAUGUAGUGUUGGAACUCACUGACAUUGUACCAGUUUUUUUUUAAUCUUCGCCAAUGUUA